rnacentral:misc_RNA from 1 species
GAUGAAGAACGCAGCGAAAUGCGAUACGUAAUGUGAAUUGCAAAUUCAGUGAAUCAUCGAGUCUUUGAACGCACAUUGCGCCCCCUGGUAUUCCGGGGGGCAUGCCUGUCCGAGCGUCAUUGCUGCCCUCAAGCACGGCUUGUGUGUUGGGCCCCGUCCUCCGAUCCCGGGGGACGGGCCCGAAAGGCAGCGGCGGCACCGCGUCCGGUCCUCGAGCGUAUGGGGCUUUGUUACCCGCUCUGUAGGCCCGGCCGGCGCUUGCCGAUCAACCCAAAUUUUUAUCCAGGUUGACCUCGGAUCAGGUAGGGAUACCCGCUGAACUUAAGCAUAUCAAUAAGCGGAGGA